GACGAACGCUGGCGGCGUGCCUAAUACAUGCAAGUCGAGCGGAUCUCGAGGAGCUUGCUCCUUGAGAUUAGCGGCGGACGGGUGAGUAACACGUGGGCAACCUGCCUGUAAGACUGGGAUAACACCGGGAAACCGGUGCUAAUACCGGAUAAUUCUUUCCCUCACAUGAGGGGAAGCUGAAAGUCGGUUUCGGCUGACACUUACAGAUGGGCCCGCGGCGCAUUAGCUAGUUGGUGAGGUAACGGCUCACCAAGGCAACGAUGCGUAGCCGACCUGGGAAGGUGAUUGGCCACACUGGGACUGAGACACGGCCCAGACUCCUACGGGAGGCAGCAGUAGGGAAUCUUCCGCAAUGGACGAAAGUCUGACGGAGCAACGCCGCGUGAGUGAUGAAGGCCUUCGGGUCGUAAAACUCUGUUGUUAGGGAAGAACAAGUAUCGGAGUAACUGCCGGUACCUUGACGGUACCUAACCAGAAAGCCACGGCUAACUACGUGCCAGCAGCCGCGGUAAUAC
rnacentral:rRNA from 1 species